rnacentral:snoRNA from 1 species
CGGCUCUUCCAUCCUGGGGCAUGUAAACCAAUGUCGAGCCCCGGGCCAGCAGCGCGCAGACAGUGACUGAGCCAGCCUGGCUGAUCGGGGGCGUCUUCGGAUGCCCUCGGGGGCGGGGUAGCACCCGCCGCGGAGGCGCACGGCGUGUACCUCCGCAGCCGGCGGCUCCACACCG